GACGAACGCUGGCGGCGUGCUUAACACAUGCAAGUCGUGCGGUAAGGCGCUUUCGGGGGUACACGAGUGGCGGAGGGGUGAGUAACACGUGAGCAACCUGCCCUUCCCUUUGGGAUAGGUGCCGGUAACGGUGGCCAAUGCUGGUACUGAAUUCCUCUCGCAACCGGGGUGGUGGAAAGCGUUCGGGGGGUGUGGGAUGGGCUCGCGGUCUAUCAGCUCGUAGUUGGAGUGAUGGCCGACCAAGGCUUCGCCGGGUAGCCGGCCCGUGAGGGUGACCGGCCACACGGGGACUGCGAGACGGCCCAGACGCGUACGGGCGGCAGCAGUGGAGAAUAUUACGCAGUGGGGCAAAGCCUGAGCCAGCAGCGCCGCGUGCGGAAUGACGGCCUUCUAGGUGUAAACCUCUGUCGCCUGCACCGAAGCGAGAGUGACGGUACCAGGUAAGGAAGCACCGGCCAACUACGUG
rnacentral:rRNA from 1 species